UAAUUGUCACUGUUGUUUAUCAAAUGAAUGAUCCACAUUGGAAAUAAGAACAAAAACUGUUAAUUAAAUAAACCAUGGUUUUAUUUUUAUGUUUUUAAGUGACAUAUAAUUUUAAAGUUUGUUAAAAAUGUCUAUUCACUGGAGUUCAGAAGUGAUGAAAUGGGAGUAUCGCGAGUUACAAGCCACGGCUAUGACCGUGGAUUAUUCGGGCAACAAUGUGUUAUUAGCGGGGCGACGGUGGCUUGCGAUAAAACAGAUAACACAGGAUGAGGAUUCUGGAGAUAUAGUCAAAAAAUAUCCUCGUCACAGCAAGUACGAUGCGGCCGGUGCUGAGUGGUGUCAGUCAUACCAUGGUCAGAAACUCUGCGCUAUCGCGAGUAACCAAAGAGUAGACGUAUAUGAGUGGCGUAACGGCAAUGACUUAACAUGCAUUUGUUCUCUCCGUGGACACACUCGAGUAGUCAGUGACACUCACUUCCACAGACAGGAUCACAACCUUAUAGCAACAUGCUCUAUUGACACAUUCACUCAUUUAUGGGAUUUGAGAGAUGCAAGGAAACCUGUAGUAUCAUUGUGUGCAGUUGCUGGUGCCUCACAGGUGCAAUGGAACAAAGUAGCCACACAUAUAGUGGCCACUGCUCACGAUGGUGACAUAAAAAUAUGGGAUUACCGCAAACAUUCUGCUCCUAUUCACUAUAUUUCUGCACAUCUUUGCAAAAUCCAUGGAGUGGACUGGAGCCCUCAUCAUGAAUACCAAUUGGUUACUUCUAGUCAUGAUGGAAGUAUAAAAUAUUUUGACAUUAACAAUGCAAGAAGACCAGAGAAUGUGAUAAUGACAAACUUUCCAGUAUGGCGAGCAAUAUACACUCCGUUUGGCAGUGGUCUACUGACCAUAGGUGUAGGCUGGGGAGGGAUGCCUAGAGUAGAACAGGCUGGAGUGAUUGGUAUAUGGGUAGGUGGGGCACUGACACACCGACUUGUGGGACACACUGAUACAGUCCAAACUAUGGUCUGGAGACCAAAUACCUCACCAUCCAACUAUCAACUAGUGACAUGGGCUAGAGACCAGUCUCUAAGAGUAUGGUCAAUGCAUCCCUCAUUAUUAAAGAUGUGCAAUCACUAUUUGCCUGAUGAUGGUGAAAAUGAUGAUGACAAUAAUAGUGACAACGUUAGCUAUGCAUCUACAGCGGGGUCCACCACUGAUAUCUCUACAGGAGAUAACAAAGGUCAAGAUAUUGCAUUGAAUAAACUGCCGCACAAAACUAACACGUCGAUAGAUGAAGAAUUUGAGUCUAUUCGCGAGAUGGCGAACAUCGAGGUAACAGAUAUGAAUAUUGAGACCCGGACAUGCCAGAUACACUCUGAGCGCAAUGGCUACGUGGCGAAUCUCCAAGUGACUUUCCCAAGAAAUGUUACAGAACAAACUAUACCAAAGUUUUCAUGGCUGUCUGGAACAAAUGUCGACAGUCCCACUACUAUUAAAAUAUUACAGUCUAUCAAUAGAACUGCUUACCGCAAGAAAAAGGAAGGUCACAGAUGUCUAUUGCACUGCUUGAAAACACUGGCUACAUCUAUAGACGAGAUACCAGUCAAAUCCAGUGACGAUACUGACUCAAUGAAGUCAAGUCAAAGAAGUCAGUCGGAGAGUGAAAACGCUGGUGACUCGUGCAUCCCGUUCCCUAGAACUUGUGGGGCCAAAUGGUGCGGAGUCAGUACAUUGGUGGUGUUCAAUAGGCCCCCGAAUGCUCGUCGUCUGUCGCUGAAGCACGAGACAGGCACUCCGCGGUCCAUGUCCUCCCUGUCGCUCACUCCGGGACUGUUUGGCACAACUGGCUACAACUCCGUGUCGCCCCACGCGACCACGACGCCGUCUCCAACAAACGCGUCCGGUUUUCCACAGCUGCAUCACAGACAUCCGUCGAAUUCCAUUACUACGUUCUAUUUUCAAGAUAGAUGGAAAGCACAGGGUCGUCGCGCAGGUAGCAUGCGAAGUCGAGGCAGUAUAUCUGGAUGCGUGGCACCACGAGUCGUUUUGUACGCCGCCCCCAACCUGUUUCCACUUAGUCGUAACCUCGCUGAGAAAUAUAUCAUUAACGCUGACAAUCCUAUCGAAAUGUGCGAAAAGAAUGCAAAAGUAGCUACAGAAGAGGGUGAGACAGACUUGGCGCAUGCGUGGGACCUGGCAGCUUUGACCGCGCGGUCCCUGCGGGCGCGAGUCAUCGAUCACCUCGUCUCCAGCGAGGAGAGCAUGGGCUGGGUCGGACACCCACUCUGUUGCAACCUCCUCCAGUCCUUAAUAUCUCACUACGCAAAAGCGUCGAACCUCCAGAUGGCCGCAAUGUUGGCUUGUGCUUUUUCCGUCUUCAAUGACACAAGCAACUCUAGUUCACAAUCUACAAUUAGCACGUCAAGUUAUGGCAACGGCACAUCUCCAUACAGUACAGUGAAUCAAUACAGUGAGAUAAGCGCAGACGGGUGGACGCUUCCAAUUGUACUGCGCAGUAACUCAUGUUCAGAAGCAGAGAACUUCUACACCGACUCUACGGUGUCAAAGUCCGAAAAAGCAUCGUCGUGUGUACUCGAUGAAGCAACUGUACAUCUGUAUCAUUGCUUUAAAAGAGUUUACGCAGACAUACUGCAUCGCUGGCAGUUAAUUUAUAAAAAGACUGAGGUGUUGAAGCUGGUGAACGGCGACACAAGCUGCAGCAGCGGGCCGGGCCCCGAGCUGGCGGCGGAGUGCGCGCGGUGCGGCGCGGGCGUGCGCGGCCCGGCCUGCACGCAGUGCGCGCGCCUCGCGCUGCGCUGCGCCGUCUGCGCGCGCCCCGUGCGCGGCCUGGCCGCCGCCUGCCACUACUGCGCGCACGCGGGCCACGCGCUACACAUGUUGCACUGGUACGUACACUACUACUACACACGACACACUACUAGUCGCGCCCCGUGCGCGGCCUGGCCGCCGCCUGCCACUACUGCGCGCACGCGGGCCACGCGCUACACAUGUUGCACUGGUACGUACACUACUACUACACACGACACACUACUAGUCGCGCCCCGUGCGCGGCCUGGCCGCCGCCUGCCACUACUGCGCGCACGCGGGCCACGCGCUACACAUGUUGCACUGGUACGUACACUACUACUACACACGACACACUACUAGUCGCGCCCCGUGCGCGGCCUGGCCGCCGCCUGCCACUACUGCGCGCACGCGGGCCACGCGCUACACAUGUUGCACUGGUACGUACACUACUACUACACACGACACACUACUAGUCGCGCCCCGUGCGCGGCCUGGCCGCCGCCUGCCACUACUGCGCGCACGCGGGCCACGCGCUACACAUGUUGCACUGGUACGUACACUACUACUACACACGACACACUACUAGUCGCGCCCCGUGCGCGGCCUGGCCGCCGCCUGCCACUACUGCGCGCACGCGGGCCACGCGCUACACAUGUUGCACUGGUACGUACACUACUACUACACACGACACACUACUAGUCGCGCCCCGUGCGCGGCCUGGCCGCCGCCUGCCACUACUGCGCGCACGCGGGCCACGCGCUACACAUGUUGCACUGGUACGUACACUACUACUACACACGACACACUACUAGUCGCGCCCCGUGCGCGGCCUGGCCGCCGCCUGCCACUACUGCGCGCACGCGGGCCACGCGCUACACAUGUUGCACUGGUACGUACACUACUACUACACACGACACACUACUAGUCGCGCCCCGUGCGCGGCCUGGCCGCCGCCUGCCACUACUGCGCGCACGCGGGCCACGCGCUACACAUGUUGCACUGGUACGUACACUACUACUACACACGACACACUACUAGUCGCGCCCCGUGCGCGGCCUGGCCGCCGCCUGCCACUACUGCGCGCACGCGGGCCACGCGCUACACAUGUUGCACUGGUACGUACACUACUACUACACACGACACACUACUAGUCGCGCCCCGUGCGCGGCCUGGCCGCCGCCUGCCACUACUGCGCGCACGCGGGCCACGCGCUACACAUGUUGCACUGGUUUUCACAACACGACACAUGCCCAACAGGGUGCGGCUGCAAAUGCGUGAUGGAAGGCAACUCCGUGUGGAAAGGAGUCAAUAAGUACGUGUGACGACUUAUGUUUGUAACUGAUUUUAAACUGCUAUGUAAAUAUCAACACUUAAUUUAUGUUUAACUAUUUCUCUUGGGUUCAAUAGAGUAGCUUUUUUUUAUCUCAUGAAGCAUUUUACAGGUUUUGAGCAUUGUUUUAUACUGUAAAUGGGGAUAGUUUUUACGUAUAAUUGCAUAAACUGCUCAACAAAACAUCUUUCAACCAACUUGACAUGUGGCCUUCUAUUUAUUACAUGUAGUUGACAACUAGUCAUAUUCAAUACUUUUAUAAUAAGAUAGCAACGUACUAAUUUGAAUUUUAUAUAAUCAAAACGAUCAACUGGAUUGUCAUGGUCGUCAUGGGAUGUUUUAGAUAAUUAACAGGUAUCUCUAUUCGAGAUAUGAUGGACAAUGAUAAAAUUAUGCUUUUAUAUUUUAGUGAAACAGUAAUUUUCGUCACUUUAACAAAGUUGUAAUAUUAAUUGUGUAAAUACCUUUUACUAUUAUGUUAUUAAUGAAGACUGCCAAUUUUAUACAAUCAAUUGUUAAUAAAUAAG